GCCUAUAGCACAGAGUAUGGCCAGCGCGUGAUCCCGUCCGAUCUCGGAACCUAAGCAGGUCCAGGCCUGGCCAGUACCAGAGGGGAGCCCACCCGGAACCACCCCUGAUGCUGUAGGCU
rnacentral:rRNA from 12 species